ACAUGCUUAGAGAAUAGUGUUAAUGCACCAGAUCGCAUUAGAAUGUCGCAGUUAAGUGCACUCAGGAUAGAGUAGUACUGGGAUGGGUGACCUCCUAGGAAGUCCUAGUAUUUUACAUGCC
rnacentral:rRNA from 1 species